AGGUGUGAGAGCAAUCUGGUUGCCAUAUCUACCAACCCAUUGAUACCCAGUGUUGAUUUGAUUGAUAUAGACAGUUAGGCAUGUUUUCUUUGCAUCCCAUCCCUCCAUGUGCAUCCCUUUCAAAGCUGCAAUUCAGUUGAAGAGUCCAAAUUUUCUCAUUAGAGGAGGAUAGUUUUUCAAUAAGCAAUAGCUUAGAUCCCAGGCUAGAACUUCCAGACAAACUCUUAAGGUCCAUUGGUAGAACAUAGGGUUGUCAAGCUUCUAAAACCCUGGACAUAUCCAAAUGAAGUGGUAUGUGUGGCAGUCUGCCUUUUU
ensembl:misc_RNA 7SK 7SK RNA